UGCAAAAUUGAUCACUCUUUCUCUCUCUCUCUCUCUCUCUCUCUCUCUCUCUCUCUCUCUCUCUCUCACACACACACAUACUCUCGAUCGAUCAAUCGAUCGACAUACUCCGACGCCUCUCUUCACUGGCGAGCACCUCUUCAAAACUCAUCGUCAAUCAAGCUAAUUCAGUGUCUCUUCAUCGCCGAUUCAAAAUUGAUUUCAGAUUUAAAUUCGUCGGGUCUUCAGUAUUGAACAACCAGCUCAAGUUCCUCACCCUCAUCUCCAGCCUUCAUCAGAGAACCUUCCGUAACUAUUUCCCAUGGCGUCUGCUUCUCUCUGCACAUUUCAAUAACGAUUCCGAUCUCCUCAGCUUCAAAUCCCCUCUCCUUUAGCAACAUUUCUUCAAUUGGAUUUUCUGAGAGAAAGAAGUGCAGGAGCAUCCAAAAUAAUCGGAGUUUUGUUCAUAGAAUCAUGUGUUCAUCAAAAGAGCCACCAGCAGAAACAGGGCUCACAUCAAAAGCAUUUGAAUCACUAAAGAUUGGGUCAACAACCAUCAUAGUGGAAGCUCCUAAAAUGUUGAAGACAACAACUUCUUUGCCUUGUCUCAGAGUUAAUUCUGUUUUAGUUAAAGCCGAUGAUGUUGGCAGGUAAAUUUUUUACCGAACAUCUAUAACAAGAGAGCUUUUUGGUGGAAUUUUUUCAUUAUAAAACUUUAAAUGAAAAAGCUCCUUUUAUCUCCAUAAUAGAAACGUUAUUUUAGUUUGUUAUUUGUGGGGACCUUGUAUAUGUUGUCUAUAUACAAUUGGUUGAAAACCCAUGGAUCCACCAAAUCAUUGAAAGCUUGUUAAUUAACAAGCUCUUUGAAAAAGAUCAUCCAAUAACUUCUUCAAUUUUCUUGAGUUUUUUUUUUUUUACAUGAAAAAGCUCCUAUUGUGAUGUUCUUAUUAACUAGUUAUUUGGUUUCAUUUCAUACCUUUUUUUAGUAAAUAUCAUAUAUGCUUAAUAAAUUUGGAACCAGUUAAAAGGGUGAAGGAUAUCUUUAAUUAAUAUACACUAACAGAGACAAUGGUGCCUUUAAAGAGAAACUUAUUAAUUUCAUGAACAAAAGUUGAUCUAUAUUAUAGCAAAUUUUUUUGAAGGUUGUGUUCAAAGUAAACAACUGAUUUUGAUAUUUCCAUUUCUAAACUAUACUUAAGAGUAUUACUUUGAUGGAAGAUCAUAGACACAUCCUCAAGAUUAUAGUUUUUGAUUAAAGUAAAAAACUAAGAAUACACAUUUGAUAUAUAAGAAAUAAGGAAUAUUAUCACCAUAACUAUAGCAUGCCACCGAUGUUAUCUUGUUUAAUGCACCUUGUGUGCAAGAUUUUAUUAAGGCAUUGUAUUUUUUUUUUUUUUUUCGAAUUUACCAUUUAUAGCAUCUUACUUUCAAUUUUUCUUUUUGUUUUUUAGAUAUUAUUCUUUGAAAAUUUUAUCAACUACUUUGUAAUUUGUAGAGAUUGAUCCUUCGCUCACAACUCACAUGGGAGGGACAAUGAGUUUUUAACAUCAUUAUAAAUGGUGAUAACAUGUUUCAAGAGAUUAAUAUUGUCAAAAUGAAUGGAGAUAUUAAUAGUGCUCUUGUGCUAACAGUCCAUGUUAGCAGGAGGAGUUUGACAAUAAUUUUGCAGCUUGUAAAAGGUAGUCAUACCAGUCAUAUCAUAAUCAGUGCCAUAGAGACCAUAGAGAUCUUUGAAAUUGUUAGAGCCGAGGCCAAUACUUCAAUUGAUUAAGUAAAAGCUUUGCAGAAAUUGAAGAGUUCUUUUCAGUUGGAAUGGCGAUCCAUGUGUUCCACAGCAGCAUCCAUGGAGUGGGAUUGGGUGAUGAAUAAGGCUAGAAUGCACAGCCGGAAUGGGCUAGAAUGUAAUCAGGAAUGCAUUGCAGGAAUGGGGGAUGUGACAUCAAGUACAAUUGUUUAUGGUGUAUUAGAUUCUUUUAUGUGAUGGUUUUAAUACUAUAGAUAGGAUACAUAUAGAGUACAGUUAAAUUACAGGUAAUUGCUGGUUGUUAAUACUAAGUAAUGGGAUUUAACAUUUAACUUAGGUAAGGUAUAAUUUAAUGUAACAAUGUGAUUUGAUGA